UCCGGUUUGUCACCGGCAGUCUCGCAUGAGUCCCCAGCCGAACUGCUGGCAACAUGCAACGGGGGUUGCGCUCGUUGCGGGACUUAACCCAACAUCUCACGACACGAGCUGACGACAACCAUGCACCACCUGUGCACGACCCUUUAAAGGACCUGCCAUCUCUGACAGAUUUCCGUGCAUGUCAAGCCUAGGUAAGGUUCUUCGCGUUGCAUCGAAUUAAGCAACAUGCUCCGCCGCUUGUGCGGGCCCCCGUCAAUUCCUUUGAGUUUUAAUCUUGCGACCGUACUCCCCAGGCGGGGUGCUUAAUGCGUUUGCUGCGCCACCGACCGGCAUGCCGACCGACGGCUAGCACCCAUAGUUUACGGCGUGGACUAC
rnacentral:misc_RNA from 1 species